GUGUGAGUUAGUCCCUUGAGGUGUUAAGAGCUUAGUCUAAUCUAAUCUAAUAUAUCUAACUUUUUUUCACUUAGAUGAUCAUUUUUUUUUCCGCUUCUUUUUCUUUUCAUUUCAUUAUCUUUUUUAGAGAUCUGUGGAAAGGAUAGCACUCGAGAGUUGUGGCAGUGUGAGUUGGUCCCUUGAGGUCUUGCGGAUACCCACCUCC
rnacentral:lncRNA from 1 species